AAAAAUAACUUCCAUCAUAUCAAAAGCGUUGCAAUUAACUUCUUUAAUUAUUUCUUAAAUUUCAGGAUGUUUGUUGAUUCAUGCAAGCGUUUACGCAUAAUGAAAGGAUCAGAAGCUAUUGGACUUGCACCAAGAGCUAUGGAGAAAUGCAAGCGCAGGGUUUGAAAACUCCAUAGAAGGCUAUAAACAUUAUGUUGAAGAAGCAGCUUUUGUGAUUGUUGUUUCCAUUUGUCUGUAUUUUUAUUUUAUAGUAUAUAGUUUUUAAUUAAAAGAAGUGAUCUUUAAUUUGGACAUUUGUAAUAGACAAGAAGCAAUAAACUUAAAAACCCUCUAUUGUGUCUUGGCUUGUUAAUUACUUAAUUAAUGGUUUGCUUUGUUGUUCUU